UACGGAGGGGGCGAGCGUUGUUCGGAAUCAUUGGGCGUAAAGGGCGCGUAGGCGGCCGUCCAAGUCGGGUGUGAAAUCCCUCGGCUCAACCGAGGAACUGCACUCGAUACUGGUCGGCUAGAGUCCGGGAGGGGAUGGUGGAAUUCCCAGUGUAGCGGUGAAAUGCGUAGAUAUUGGGAAGAACACCGGUGGCGAAGGCGGCCAUCUGGACCGGAACUGACGCUGAGGCGCGAAAGCCAGGGGAGCAAACGGG
rnacentral:rRNA from 1 species